rnacentral:rRNA from 1 species
CCUACGGGGGGCAGCAGUAGGGAAUCUUCCACAAUGGGCGAAAGCCUGAUGGAGCAACGCCGCGUGGGUGAAGAAGGUCUUCGGAUCGUAAAACCCUGUUGUUAGAGAAGAAAGUGCGUGAGAGUAACUGUUCACGUUUCGACGGUAUCUAACCAGAAAGCCACGGCUAACUACGUGCCAGCAGCCGCGGUAAUACGUAGGUGGCAAGCGUUAUCCGGAUUUAUUGGGCGUAAAGGGAACGCAGGCGGUCUGUUAAGUCUGAUGUGAAAGGCUUCGGCUUAACCGGAGUAGUGCAUUGGAAACUGGGAGACUUGAGUGCAGAAGAGGAGAGUGGAACUCAAUGUGUAGCGGUGAAAUGCGUAGAGAUAUGGAAGAACACCAGUGGCGAAGGCGGCUCUCUGGUCUGUAACUGACGCUGAGGUUCGAAAGCGUGGGUAGCAAACAGGAUUAGAUACCCCAGUAGUC